rnacentral:rRNA from 2 species
GCAUAUCAAUAAGCGGAGGAAAAGAAACCAACAGGGAUUGCCCCAGUAACGGCGAGUGAAGCGGCAACAGCUCAAAUUUGAAAUCUGGCCCCUCCGGGUCCGAGUUGUAAUUUGUAGAGGAUGCUUUUGGUGAGGUGCCGCCCGAGUUCCCUGGAACGGGACGCCACAGAGGGUGAGAGCCCCGUCUGGCUGGCCACCGAGCCUCUGUAAAGCUCCUUCGACGAGUCGAGUAGUUUGGGAAUGCUGCUCAAAAUGGGAGGUAUAUGUCUUCUAAAGCUAAAUAUUGGCCAGAGACCGAUAGCGCACAAGUAGAGUGAUCGAAAGAUGAAAAGCACCUUGAAAAGAGGGUUAAACAGUACGUGAAAUUGUUGAAAGGGAAGCGCUUGUGACCAGACUUGGGCGCGGCGGAUCAUCCGGGGUUCUCUCCGGUGCACUUCGCCGCGUUCAGGCCAGCAUCAGUUCGUCGCGGGGGAAAAAGGCUUCGGGAACGUGGCUCCUCCGGGAGUGUUAUAGCCCGUUGCAUAAUACCCUGCGGUGGACUGAGGACCGCGCAUCUGCAAGGAUGCUGGCGUAAUGGUCACCAGCGACCCGUCUUGAAACACGGACCAAGGAGUCGUCUUCGUAUGCGAGUGUUCGGGUGUCAAACCCCUACGCGUAAUGAAAGUGAACGCAGGUGAGAGCUUCGGCGCAUCAUCGACCGAUCCUGAUGUUCUCGGAUGGAUUUGAGUAAGAGCAUACGGGGCCGGACCCGAAAGAAGGUGAACUAUGCCUGUAUAGGGUGAAGCCAGAGGAAACUCUGGUGGAGGCUCGCAGCGGUUCUGACGUGCAAAUCGAUCGUCAAAUAUGGGCAUGGGGGGCGAAAGACUAAUCGAACCUUCUAGUAGCUGGUUUCCGCGA